CAAAACCACAAAGGUCUGAGCCUCUUCACAGUGAGGACUCUGGCUGCCCCAGAGAAGAGCACAGUUCUCAGCCAUGCUGUCACUGCAGCCAGCAGGGAUUCUGGCCAUCCUAGGAGUUUUGUGUGUGUAUGGUGCACGUCACCUGGAGCAACCUCAACAUUCCAUUACUAAAACCCUCUCCAAAACAGCACGCCUGGAAUGUGUUGUAUUUGGAGUAACUAUUUCUGCCUUGUCCAUCUACUGGUAUCAGGAAAGACCUGGCCGUGCCAUGGAGCACCUGCUGUCCAUUUUAGCUGAUGACACUGUCAACCUGGAACCAGGCAUUACAGUGGGCAAAUUUGAGGUGGACAAGAUACCUGAGACUUCUACAUCUACCCUCACCAUUCACAACGUAGAGAAACAAGACUCGGCUACCUACUAUUGUGCCUUCUUGGAUUGUGUUAUGGAUGGCAAUGUAAUUAAAGUGUUUGGUCCUGGCACAAAGCUCAUUGUUACAGAUAAAAUCUCUGAUGCAGACCUUUCCCCCAAGCCCACGAUUUUUCUUCCUUCAGUUUCUGAAAUAAAUCUCCAUAAGGCUGGGACACAUCUUUGUCUUCUUGAAAAUUUUUCCCCUGAUGUUAUUACGGUAUAUUGGAAAGAAAAGGGUGGUGAUAGGAUUCUGGAAUCCCAGCAGGGAGAUACCGUGAAGACUAACGACACAUACAUGAAGAUGAGCUGGCUAACUGUGACUGAAGAAUCAUUGGAUAAAGAGCACAGGUGUAUCAUCAAACACGAGAAUAACAAAGGAGGAGUUGAUAAAGAAAUUCUCUUUCCUGCAAUAAAGAAAGCAGGCAUCACGAAGACUGAUUCUCAAACUUGCUUGAAAGAUAAAAAUGAUGCCCUGAGACUGCAGCUCACAAACACCUCCGCCUACUGCAUCUACCUCCUCCUGCUCCUCAAGAGUGGGGUCUAUUUGGCCAUCAUCACCUUCAAUCUGCUAAGAAGAACAGCUGUCUGCAGCAAUGGGAAGAGCUCCUAACAGAUAGUGGCACAACAGGACUGUCGUGUGUUCUUGGUUUAUGGUCCAGAACAGCAUUUGCUGAGGACCUAGCUGGGCUUGCUUGCUGAGUUCAGGCUCCUUAUGUUCAAAUGUGUAUUAUUCUUUAAUUAUUGCAGAAGCGUUUAAAACCAAUGGGCACACUCUGGAACUUCUCUCUGUGACAACAAGGAGUAGCCCAUGGUGGUCCCUCGUCCCUCUGUUUCCACAGUCCCCAUCAGCCCCUCCAGCCAGCCCAAAUCAUGGCAGUUGUGGUGUGAAGAGAGUAUGGCUUCUAGUCACAGUCCUUAGUGCCCUGUAAGCAGAGACUAUCUUAAAGUCUUCCAUUCUAAACACCCUAAAGCAACCUUCUUUGCUACUUGGA